AUGUUUAUCCUAUCAUGUUGAGUUAUUUGUAUAGUAAAGUAAAAGGUAAAGUAAAAGAGAGCAUUGAAAACAUCCCUUCGAACAUUAUCUAAUAAAAAUCGAAGUAAAAAUUUCAGACAAAUAAAAAGUCUUUUACAGAAAUGCAAUUUCAAUUUUCAUGGAAAAUUAAAUCUUCUUGGAUUUCUAGAAAGACAUGUAGUCAUGAUUUGUGGUUGAAAACUUCAGAGUAUGAAUGGAUGAUGUAUGAACUUCUUCUCUUCAUUAUGCUUGCUGCAUGCAAGAGCGAGUUAAAUGAGCCAAAGCUGCAUUCAAUACACUUUACUUCUAUCAACACCGAAAAUUCACUUCUAUGAUAACUUAAAUUUACCUAAAUUUAAUUUAUUCCAAAAAGGCAUUUCCAAGGAAUUCGUUUACAUUAUCUUCCACAAUCUUUUGUAGGUAAAAAAAUUCUUACAAUAAAAAGCACGAACAACAAAACCCUUAGAAUUAAUUCAUUCUGAGGUACAUUAAACCUGGUUGACACUAAUUUUUACGUGAAAUAGAGUUAAACUAAUAUACUUAGGUCAUAACCAUCGCUAAAUCAACAUUAAAAUGUGCUAAAGUUCAAAAGUUAUGCUUAAUCAACAUUCUUUACAUGUUAUACCAUUAAAAACGGUAUUUGUACUUUGGUAUCCUGGAGCAAAUACAGUUCUAUAACUGUAAGAAUAGCGCAUUCGUUUCGGUCGUAGACGCUUCCCGCAGAGUUUUGACAAGUGCAAUUUACUUUUUUAAAGGAUCGAUAAAGACAGAGCGAUACCAAAGACUAAUAAUCGAUUAAAAUUCGAUCAGAUCGAUCACUGGUAUUAAUCUGUUUUAAUUAAAUAGAGACGAAUCGGGAUCGAUUAUCUGAAUAUUGAUCUCUGGUCGGGAUUACUGUUAGAGCUACAGAUAGACUAGAAAUGCAUUCAAACGUUUCCUUUUCAGUCGUCGUAACGACUUGUGUGCAGGAAAAAAUAUAUCAAAGACACCUACUGAGUAGGAGGGAGGGCGCCCCAGGCAGUGGGUCCAGUAUGUUAGCCAGAUUGAUGGAGCGUCCGUCUCAUACAGGGGCAAGACCCCCUCGGGAAGAAUCCAUUUCUGGUUUAAGCCUAAAGAGAUCUUUGCUGAAAACCGGAAGUCGGAAACUUCUCUCCAACUCUUAGAUUCUUCUAUGUCUUUUUAUUGCAGUUGUUUAUUGGCCGCACUUCUAUAAUUGAGUUGUUAUUGGUACUAGAACUGGUGCGUGAUCUGCUAACUGGCAUCAUACGUUGCUUUCCGGCCAUACAUUACGUACGAUACACUAAAAACACGACAUUUGAAUGAAGGGCAACAAACUCUAACUAGGUAUAUUUACAACAAACCUAUGUUCAUUACUGUACUGGAACCUAGAACUUAAUAAAAUUGAAUUUCAAUAUACCAGUAUCUAACAAACAAAAUAUUGAAUCAGAGUUCUGAACUUCUACUAAUCAUCAAGCAAAAAUAUGCUGCAUUAAAAUUUUCAAUAGAG
rnacentral:lncRNA from 1 species